CCAAUAGCGUAUAUUAAAGUUGUUGCAGUUAAAAAGCUCGUAGUUGAAUUUCGGGAUCAAUAUUUCGGUCAUGCCGUUGGUAUGCACUGUUAUCAUUGAUUUCUCACCUUCUAAAGAACCGUAAUGCCAUUAAUUUGGUGUUACGGGGAAUUAGGACUGUUACCUUGAAAAAAUUAGAGUGUUUAAAGCAGGCUCACGCUUGAAUACAUUAGCAUGGAAUAAUGAAAUAGGACAUCCGAUUCUAUUUUGUUGGUUUCUAGGAUCGAUGUAAUGAUUAAUAGGGAUAGUUGGGGGAAUUAGUAUUCAAUUGUCAGAGGUGAAAUUCUUGGAUUUAUUGAAGACUAACUACUGCGAAAGCAUUUGCCAAAGAUGUUUUCAUUAAUCAGUGAACGAAAGUUAGUGGAUCGAAGACGAUCAGAUACCGUCGUAGUCUUAACCAUAAACGAUGCCAACCAGUAAUUCGCCUGAGUUCCUUAAAUGACUCGGCGAGGGACUUCCG
rnacentral:misc_RNA from 1 species